UGAAAACAUUCAGAGUCCCUGGAGAGAAAAAUAAGGAGUUUUGGACUUUUCAGAAGAAAAGAAAAGCAAAACAAAAAAAGGUGCCAGUCCCUCACCAGAUUGUGUUGCAUGUGAUAACUGGCAUGUGAGCAUCCCGGAUCCUUGCACAUCUGAGCUGCCCCCAGCAGGAGCAAUGCAGCCCCCACACAGUGUGCAGAAGCCCAGGAGGCACAACCCAGCUCUGUUAAACACCAUGGGAAGACACAUUAAAGCUCCCAGUGCUGAGUGACACCACUAGCAAGGUCCUAUCCUCUCCUCUAACACCCCUCAAUAUUGCUGCCCCAAAGCUGAGGGACAGGAACUUCCUGGCUCAGAUGAUCUAGAAAGACCUUGUGUGUUUGAUCUUUUCAGUUCACUCGGUUUUCUCCCUCAUUCUCCAAGUCACAUUUCCACAAUGGAAGCUGUAGCCACAACAGGCUUAUUCACAGGACACAUUAUCUCAUGAUGCUCUGAAUAAAUGUGAGAUUUCAGCACUUAAUAGUGUCAGCCACGGAACAAAAAGCCAUUCUCAGCCAUAACAGUGUGGGACCUGGCAUGCUGCUCUAAGAAAAUCAGCAAAAAAAUGAGGCAAUAACAUAUUUACAUCAUUGUAAAAAUUAAGACAGAGAAGAGAAAAAGAUCCAAACUAGCAUCAUAUGAUGGGAAUUUCUUUUCAGCCUCUGACACAAAGAUCUGGUCUUGAUUUAGAAAAUCAAUUUGUUUUUACCUUCUUCCAUUUCUCUCCAUGUACCAGGGAAUAAUUACAUCCACCCUGUAAAUUCCCCCAACUUUGCUAAUUUUCUGACCUGGGAGCAGUAGUGUCCUUGAGCAUGUUCUUGACAUACUUAAUUCCAUUUGUGCUUGGGACAUGCACAUCACUUUUGGUUUUGAAUAGGCAAUACAGAGUAUUACUGUAUAAUGAAGUGGAAAUUGUAGAGUGCACAAAAUACUAAACUGGAAGGUACAAGCAAUUACUGUCUUUAAGGCAUACAUCAUUUGGGGAGAUGAUAUAUCAAAAUAAAGGAGGAAUCUGGGGCUGGAUCCAGCUCCCAUUGAAGACAAAGACUGAGUUCUCUUUAAGCCCAAGUAAAGGUUCAGCUAUCCACAUGUCCCUAUAAAAUCACACCAUUAAGCCCACUGAAAACCUGGCUGGCUCAGAAAAGUUGAAGACAUUUCCCUGAAAUCCAGCAGCUCUGCUCAAAGGGAUUGAGUAAGUAGAGAAUUAAGCCCUACUUUAUCUUCUUUCUUUUCCCACCUAACAUUAAACCACUGUCUUUUUUACUAUAAUAUUUUAAACCUGAACAUCUAGCCAUAUUUCAUCUUCCUCUAGCUCCCACCUGUCACCUGAGCAUCUGACAUCAUCACUCAGAGAGAGACAGAUGAUAUGAUAAAGACGCUGAGACUGCAAGGAAUUGAGUCCCAGCACCCAGACAACCUCUACGCAAGGCACACCUGUGUCUCUUCCUCUCUUUCUAGUGAGCAGAAGGUUUGUUGGGACAUUUGUCCCAGCUUCUCCUGCUUUAGGACCAUCAAGUGGAUUGCAAGCACAUGGAAUUUUUGCUGCUCAACGUGAGCAAGAAAAUCUCAAUAGAAAUAUUUUUUGAAAGCCUGACAUCUGGUUUCAAUUAAGUUUAUCUGCAUUAAUAAAACACAUUUCUCACUCA